rnacentral:lncRNA from 1 species
GCUGUGAGUCCACACAUCUGCCCGGACCGCGGGCGCAGCGUCCAGGUUUAUGGGGAGCCGCAAGCUCGGCCCCUCCCCGUUCGCUCAGCGACUCCGGGAAAAAGCUGGGAAAACCCAAAGCGUGCGGGGUCCUAAGCGGGGCUGCCCGCCUCUCCACGGCACGGCCCCUGCGGUGCGAUGCUCAGCCCCGACCCGCAGCCCCCAGCACCCAUCCGGCCCCAUGCGGGUAGCGAGAGGGCGAAGGAGAGCUGCAGAAACUUGUUGGGACGUCUCCAGUGUUAAGCAGGCCACUGCAGGGCGUGCUGAUAAUUGUGGUCUGCAUCCAUGAGGGAUCAGGACAGCACUGUGCAUGGCACGCACCUCUCUCCUCAACCUUCCUUACGGCAGGACUUGGCACAGGACAGGGGGCUUGGAAGCACACACUGCUCACAGCACACAGCAGAUCCAGAAAACAACUGGACUUGAUGGAAGGGUGCUGCUCAGGAAGGAAGUGUUCCCACACACCUCUAAGAUCCCUGAGUCCAACCCCAACCCAUCCCACUGACUGCAUCCCUCAGUGCCACAUCUCCAUACCCCUUGAACACCUCCAGGCAGAGUGACCCCCCGGCUCCCUGGGCAGCCUGUGUCAGAUUUUCUUAACACCCAACGUGCAUAAAUGGUGCCCUCAGAGCAGUCCUGCUGGGAUGGCUGGAGACAGGAGAUGGGAGCAGCUGGGAAGGAGGAGGAAGAGGAAGAAAUGAGAGCUCUAAGGUUCAGGUCGGGACGAUUGCAGCUGGCAGCGACGCUGCUCUGGGGGUGAUUAAUGCAUCACAAGGUCCACACAUGGAAAAAGUGCUCAGGGCCUGUAGCCACCCCUCUCACUGCUGGGAAUUCACGGCAGUCACUUGCCCGGUCUCGCUCCCAGAUGUCUCAAGGGCUGGGAGCUUCCUUGGAGAGCUCCAGCAUUGCACAACAGGGAGGAUUCCCCUGGCAGCCCGCCUGGCUGCAGCUGCUGAUGUUGGCAUUCUCGGUCCAAG